UAUAUUUACAAACAUAUGAUCAUCUCACUAUCCACAGGAAAUAUAAAUAUAUAUAUGUCAUAUAUAUAUCUGUCCAUUAUAUAUAUAUAUAUAUAUGAUGGACAAUUCUAUAACAUGUAUCUAUAAGUCACAUACAUAUAUAUUCUGUCCUGUUCUUCCCCUUCUCCAACUCCUCCCAGUUCACCCCUUUCCUACCCACUUCACUUCAUUAAUAAAACAGCACCCAUCCAAUAUUUUUAAACUCUUAGUAAACAGAGAACAGAAGGAAAUUUCCAUAAUCUACUAAAGAAUAAUCAAGCAAUAUUCAGCAAACAUGUUCAUAAUAAAAUAUUAAAAGGCUCUUCCAGUGAGACUGCAAAGACAGACUAUCCCCAUUACCGAUUCUAUACAUAAAAAAAAAUCUAGCUUCAUUUAAAAAAAAUAGAUGGAAAUUAGCAUUUUAAAAUAACACUGUUUGCGCAUGAAGUUCAUGCAGAGGGGCCUGGACUCGAAAAACCAGAAACAGCUGGAAGAGGAGGAACAGAAGAUGAUCAGGGAUGAGCACUGGUACCUGGAUUUGCCGGAGUUGAAGGAGAAGGAGAGCUUCAUCAUAGAAGAGCAGAGCUUCUCCCUGUGUGAAGAUAUUCUCUACGGAAGGAUGCCAUUCAGAGGCCUUAAUCCUGAAGUUGAGAAGUUCAUGCUUCUGAUGAAUUCCAGGAACAGAGUGGCAGCGUCAGAAGAGGAGGAAAUACUAGACAUUGGAAUGUCGAAAGAAGAAAUGGCAAGAAGACAUGAGAGUUUGGAGGGAACGAUUGGGAAAAUGUUUGCCAAGAAUAGGAAGCCAAUGAUGAAGAAGAUGAAAAUGGAAACAUAAAAGCCAUUAAAAUUAAGAAGAUGUUCUUAAAGCCCGAAGACUAAUAUGGACGCCUGUAAUCCAGUGGAUGCUGUGAGAACAGCAUGGUCUGAACUCACCCUCCUGUCCUCGGUACUGGUCCCUUCUAAGGGAUGCCUAGGGUUGGAAAUGUGCUGUUCUUGAGACAGAAGGAUGAUGGACGUUCUACAUCCUUUUGACGGCAUUCAGGGCUUCACAUAUGUGGGUACACGCCGCUCCCUUGACUUUUGGCCUGAUUCUGUGUGAAUAUACACACAGACAGGGCACACACCUACACCUGCUCUCAGUUACUCUCCAGGAAUGAGGAUUGGAGACUAAUUCUUGCCUUGGUUUUACUGCCCUUACAUUUAUAUUUUACUUUUUGAAUCAUGUCAAGGCAAAUCAUUCACUUUGAAUUUCAAUAUUUGAGAACUUUUCAGA
rnacentral:lncRNA from 1 species